rnacentral:rRNA from 1 species
GAUGAACGCUGGCGGCGUGCCUAAUACAUGCAAGUCGAGCGAACAGAUGAGGAGCUUGCUCCUCUGACGUUAGCGGCGGACGGGUGAGUAACACGUGGAUAACCUACCUAUAAGACUGGGAUAACUUCGGGAAACCGGAGCUAAUACCGGAUAAUAUAUUGAACCGCAUGGUUCAAUAGUGAAAGACGGUUUUGCUGUCACUUAUAGAUGAUCCGCGCCGCAUUAGCUAGUUGGUAAGGUAACGGCUUACCAAGGCAACGAUGCGUAGCCGACCUGAGAGGGUGAUCGGCCACACUGGAACUGAGACACGGUCCAGACUCCUACGGGAGGCAGCAAUAGGGAAUCUUCCGCAAUGGGCGAAAGCCCGACGGAGCAACGCCGCGUGAGUGAUGAAGGUCUUCGGAUCGUAAAACUCUGUUAUUAGGGAAGAACAAAUGUGUAAGUAACUAUGCACGUCUUGACGGUACCUAAUCAGAAAGCCACGGCUAACUACGUG